GUGUUAAGUGUUUUAUUCAAAGCACGUCCUACUGGGUGUGCCAUCUUAUGUCAUUACUGUCGUCAUGAAGUUCUCCCCCGGAUUCCAGCGCCAUCUUGAAAAUGAGAGUGUUUGGUCGAUGGGUGGGGUACUCCUGAGUGGCAUCUAGUGGUCAGUUUAGUAAUUUAUUGAAUAAUACUGAGUAUAACUAAAUGGAGUAAAUAGGCAUUUUACUAGCUAAAAAAUAUGUCAAUAUCUCAUUUCCACAAC